rnacentral:rRNA from 1 species
GACGAACGCUGGCGGCGUGCUUAACACAUGCAAGUCGAGCGGUAAGGCCCUUUCGGGGGUACACGAGCGGCGAACGGGUGAGUAACACGUGGGUGACCUGCCCUCAGCUCUGGGAUUAGCCUGGGAAACCGGGUCUAAUACCGGAUAUGACUCCAUGACGCAUGUUGUGGGGUGGAAAGCCUUGUGCGGCUGAGGAUGGGCCCGCGGCCUAUCAGCUUGUUGGUGGGGUGAUGGCCUACCAAGGCGACGACGGGUAGCCGGCCUGAGAGGGCGACCGGCCACACUGGGACUGAGACACGGCCCAGACUCCUACGGGAGGCAGCAGGUGGGGAAUCUUGCGCAAUGGGCGAAAGCCUGACGCAGCGACGCCGCGUGAGGGAUGAC